rnacentral:lncRNA from 1 species
UCCUUCAGUAGUCAUCCCUUAGUCCAGUCGUCUGGAGAUUACGUUGAUGACUCUGGCAGUAGGCUGAUUGUUUGCUACCUCUUCAGUCGGUUGGGAAGGAGUCGAGCCGGUGGGUCCCUUCGAUACUUUUCGAGAUAUCCUCGUCGUAUGAGGGUCUCUAUUUCAUCCUUGAGUUGGAUGCAUUGCUCGGUGUUGUGACCGUGGCCCCGAUGGAAUCGACAGUAUUUUCUCCGGUCACGGCCCUUUGCCUUUAGAGGCGGAGGCCGUUGCAAAUAUUUCGCUCCUUCGAUCUCCAUCAAGAUCUGUGCACGAAGAGCGAAGAGAGGGGUGUAGAAGUCAUACCUGUGAUGCAUCGGUCUCAGACUCCACCAUCGGGGCGAUCCCGGGCUCCGUCAUCGGGGCGAGAUCCGUUUAUCGAUCGGGGGCCUGCUGGGUUCAGCAGCAGCCCGAUUUUUCUUUCACUUCUCCUUCUGGCCC